CUCGAUAACAGUUGCCUUUGGCAAAAUGAUCCUUCCCUUCAUUUGAUCCUGCAUAGGCAAUAUUCCUUAAACAUUGUGUAAAAUUAAUUUACUUCUUCUAAAAGUACAGUCUAUUAAUAGCAGCCUCCUGAGAAAUUAAACAGAUGCAAGAGUAACAACGGCGUCUUCCUGCCUGCUUGCUUAUGCCUUUUCCCCCCCCAGUCUUCUGUGCAGAAACAAAACACAGCCAACUCGGACCUGUUAGUCCCAGCGUGCAUCACCAAGCAGGAAAACCUGCCAGUGAUGGAGAGUUCCUGAAGAAAUUUUUGUUGCUGGACUGAUUAACUCAGCGGACAGACGGUCUGUGGGAACUCUGUCUCUGGGAAUCUGAUGAUCAUGUGGCCGGGAUGACGACUGGGCAAGUAUGGAGACUUUAGUGGGUGGGGUUUCCUUCGUUGAGUUUCUUUCAGAUUGCUGCAGAAAGCCCUCAGCAUUGGGACACAAAGAGAGGUUUGGAUGCUCUGGGAGGACCUUUCACUGUCUCAAACUGUCUCUUAACAGCAGCCUUUCAGUUCUGCCUCACUUACGGUUUCUCUGGGUAAGUCAUCACUCCUUUGAGAUGUGGCAUCAUCAGUGUGUGCGGGAUAUGCCUAAGGAAAUUGUUCCCCCCUGAGGUCACUGACAGACAGGACGUACAGGAUCAGGAUCUUGAGCUCAGGGCCUCAAGACUGAAUGGAGGUUGCCUAAGGCUUGUGAUAAUAGGCUCUCUGUGUCUGAUGGUUGGAAAUGGCUUACCUCUGGCCAUCAUUUUCAAUACCUCAGAAACCUGUUUCCCACCCGCAGAGACAGGAUAAGAAAACACUACAGAGAUGCCCAGGGAUGACCUAGAAAAUUGUUGCGAAUGCAUCUCCCCAUCUCUUUAGUGGCAGCAACUUCUGUCUUUGUCUCUUUAGCUUCUUUAGUCACCUCUCUAUCUUCUACUUGGAAAAAUGACCCUAUGUGCAUUGCUGUGAUUCUGACUACUGUUUUCUUAGGAGCCAGCUUCCACUAUUUCCUCAAGUGGACAACAAACUGAAACUGUAGGCAACAGGUUUUUAGCCCAGUACACAGGCUUCUGGAACUCUCUUUCAUUCUUUUGAGAGCAAAGGCUGUAGGAGGCCAUGAGCUAGAAUUAUAUCGCUCAGCUGAGGUAAGCAAACUGGGCCAUGCAGAUGCCCAGUCCAUCCGGUCUGUUUAUAGCAUAUGUACAUGCAUACAUACACGUAUGCAUAUAUACUUACACACAUAUGGGAUAGAUAGGUACAUACAAACAGAUGAUAGACAGUAGACAGAUGAUGGGUGGGAGGUGCAUGACGUAUGGUGAUGCAGACAGACUAACCUGAAUGCCCUGUGUUUAUAUUCUCACCACCUGAAUAGGUAACUCUGGCCAGUCCACUCCUAGUGUUUAACUCUCCAAAGUUCUACUAGUUCCAAAGCCCAGAGUUUGUCCCACAGAAUACAGAACUUGACAGUGCUGUAGGAGUCAAGAAUGAGCCACAAACAACACGUGCUCAGCAAGCAGCAAAUGCUUGCAAGUGGUUACGGACUCCACAGCAUUUGACAUUACUUUGUUAGGGUUCCCUGUCCUUGUAUUGUCACAGCAAUACGAGAAAACGUGUAUUGAUCAUGCACGUGGCUCCCUCUUUUAUCAAUGAACUUUGACUACAAUUUCAAAGUUGUACUUUCUAGGUAAAGACUGCAAAUGAAUUUCACACUGCCUGGUGUUAUCCGUGGAGCAGGUCUGAUGUCACCCAGGGCUUAUGACACCCUAAAGGUACCUGGUCCUUACUUGGCACAAAGCACAUACAUAUAUCAUUGAGCUUGUUUGCAUAUUUUCACAAUGACCAAGCUGGACUUUUUUAAGUUUUCUGUGUAUGGGUGUGGGCAUACAUGUAUGCAUGUUUUGUGGACAUGUGUGUGGAGGCAUUGUUGUUGUCCAAUGUCUUCCUCAAUCGCCAUCUAUCUUACUUUUUGAGAUAAGGCCUAUUCACUGAAAUUGGAACUCAAGGAUUUGCUGGCCAGUCAGCUCCAGAGAUUCCCGCCCCCCAUUCAAGGAUCUGGCAUGCACCCCCAAACCUGGCUUUUUACACAACAUUAGAAGGCCUAAUUCAAGUCAGAAAGCACUUUAUUGAUGGAGUCAUCUUCCCACGCCUAAGUCCUAUCCUUUGUGUCUUGAGUAGUCUAAUCAGUGUGAAGUUAAACUGUUAAUUCACAGAAGUAUGUUUAUCUCUGAGCAACACUUUAUUUUCUCCUGCUAUAGAGGUAUCAACCGGGAGAAAGACUGUAAAAGACAAAUGUGAUAUUUCCUCCUGCAAAGGGUUUUGUUUUGACAGCAGCUGAUGAGCUUUGAGGAACAAGUUCACACUCUUCAGCUCUGUGUCUUAAGCAUCACCACCACUGUCCAUCAUUUCGCUGUUGCUAUGGUAACACAACCCUGGCAGAAGCAGCUUAACGGGGACUUUAUUUUGGCGCACAGUUUCAGAGGGACAAAACCCAUCAUGCAUGGAAGACAUGGGGGCAGAAGCAAGAGACAAGCCAAUCAUAUUGCAUCUACACUCAGGAUGUGGGGCCAGACACAGAGCUUCAAAGCCUCACCCCUAACACUAGUGGCUUACUUCCUUUUCCCUAGGCUUUCUCCUCUAAAGGCUCCACAAUCUUGCAAACAGCUCCACCAAGUGGAGAAGAAGUGUUCAAACAUGCAAGUCUCUGGGGGACAUUUCACUUCCAAACCACAGCAGUCAAUAAGGGGCACCAUUUCCCAUGCAGUGCUGCCUUCCUGCUGACACUCAGCAUCAAAACAUACAUGUGGCGGGCCCUUCAUCAUUGUGUACCCUCAGCACGACAUCCGAGCCAUGCAAGCAGCUAAGUCUCUCUGAAGUCACAAGGGGCCAGAGGAUGUAAUCCACUCUCCCAGUGCCUCUUGUGACCCAAUGACCACUGCUUUAGGAGGACAAGUGACUACUACAACUUCCCCUCGUCCACCUUGCCUCCUGCUCU
rnacentral:lncRNA from 1 species